UCUAGUGAUGAUGGCAAAGAGGUCACACCCGUUCCCAUCCCGAACACGGAAGUUAAGCUCUUUUGCGCCGAUGGUAGUUGGGGGUUUCCCCCUGUGAGAGUAGGACGUCGCUAGGC
rnacentral:rRNA from 1 species